rnacentral:rRNA from 1 species
UACAUGGGGUGCAAACGUUGCUCGGAAUUAUUGGGCGUAAAGCGCACGUAGGCGGUUCGUUAAGUCGGAUGUGAAAGCCCUCGGCUCAACUGAGGAAGUGCACCCGAAACUGGCGAGCUUGAGUACGGAAGAGGAUCGCGGAAUUCCCGGUGUAGAGGUGAAAUUCGUAGAGAUCGGGAGGAACAUCUGUGGCGAAGGCGACUACCUGGACCAGCACUGACACUGAGGCACGAAAGCGUGGGGAGCAAACAGG